AUGCAUUCUCAAACCCUCCUGGUACUGUUAAUAUUGUAACUUCCAGGAUAAGGAUGAAUGCAAAAGAAAAAUGUAGAGUUAUCCAAAAUGCUGAACAUGCUAACAUUGUUCUGCAUUAUUUCACCUCUUCAACAAGGACU
ensembl:snoRNA